AAGGUUAAUAACCGGACCCCCUUUCUCUCACCAACCUCUUCACUCCUCAGUCCACUCCUCUGUUCUCUACUUCACUCUAAAUUUCAAAAUUUUUAAAAAAUCCCAUUGUUGUUUCUGCCGCUACCACUCUCACGCCAGACCACCAUCAUCGCAUGGAACAAGUCUCAAACCAGUCACCAUUUCGCCACCCACCAGCCACCGUUGCGGUCUUUCUCUCCCCCAACGAUCUAUCAACUUCUGCUACGCCUUCACCCGCUCCACUGCCUAGUAUCUCCAAACUGCAUCGCCGGCACAAUCACUUCCCAAGAAAGGUGGCGUUGCCUUGUGGGGUGGGGUUUGCAGAGGAAAAGGGUUUUAUAAAUGCAAACUGUGCAAUGGAAAUGCCACCAUAGAGUGGUCGCCUAUGUAUGACCCUGUAGCUAUCAAUCCUUGCCUUUGCCCCACUUGCGAGGGAAACAGUUAGAUGGCAUUAGAUUUGAUGAUUGAGUCUCCAUUGGAGACCUCUCAAAGUUGAAAAGGUAGAUUUUGUUGUGCACAGCUUGUUGGAAAGCUACAGUAAGAGCUAAAGACCAUGGGCGUGAUUCUUGUUGCAGUGAUACUAGGCAAUUUGACAUUGAUAAUAAACAAAAGGUACUAAAGACAGAUGCAAUUUGACAAUGGUAGUAAACAAUAGGUUUGAUAGUUCAUGUACAGGCAAAAUUGGUUUUUUCUUUGCUAAGUUCAGUGUAUUCAUUGGCUAGCUAUGCUAGCUCUUGAUAUAAAUCCCCCCCUCCAAGUCUGUUCAUCAUCUUAAUGGUGAUUUCUUGGAUGCAAUUGAGUGCUAAACCUGUUUUUUCUGAAUUGGUGGCUCAAUAUUCUCAGCAUGGUUACGUAAAGGCUGGCACUGACGGGCUACCAUAGUCAAGCCACUUGAGAUUGAUGAAGAAUAUGAUCUUGAAGCAAACACAUUUUUUUUCCUCUUUUCUUAGUGGAAAUUAUAUAUUCUACUAGGGGAAAAAUUGGUCUUGUAAUUGAAGUCUAUUUCAAUAGAACUCUUGUUUUCUUGUUAUUUGGCCUUGUAAUCAAAGUAUACAU